rnacentral:tRNA from 1 species
GGUCUUUUAGUAUAAGAAAUACGUUAAUUUGUGGUAUUAAAGAUGGGGUUCAUUCUCAAGGGCUA